AAGACGGAGGUGCAUCGGGAUGGGGACUGCCACCGGGUAGUGCACGUGUGGAUCUACUAUGAGAGCACCGGGGAGUUGUUGCUGCAGCGCCGCGCCGACUGCAAGGACUCGCGGCCCGGCCAGUGGGACAUCUCCAGCGCUGGCCACAUCACCGUCGGAGACUCCUCCCUCUCCUCCGCGCGGUGA
rnacentral:rRNA from 1 species